rnacentral:rRNA from 1 species
AUACGUAGGUGACAAGCGUUAUCCGGAUUUACUGGGCGUAAAGGGCGUGUAGGCGGUCUUGCAAGUCAGAAGUGAAAUUCCUGAGCUCAACUCGGGCGCUGCUUCUGAAACUGCAGGACUUGAGUGCUGGAGGGGAUAGCGGAAUUCCUAGUGGAGCGGUAAAAUGCGCAGAUAUUAGGAAGAACACCGGUGGCGAAGGCGGCUAUCUGGACAGUAACUGACGCUGAGGCGCGAAAGCGUGGGGAGCAAACAGGAUUAGAUACCCUGGUAGUCCACGCCGUAAACAAUGAAUACUAGGUGUAGGGGGUAUCGACUCCCUCUGUGCCGCAGUUAACACAAUAAGUAUUCCGCCUGGGGAGUACGGCCGCAAGGUUGAAACUUAAAGGAAUUGACGGGG